rnacentral:rRNA from 1 species
UUACCAAGGCAACGAUGCAUAGCCGACCUGAGAGGGUGAUCGGCCACACUGGAACUGAGACACGGUCCAGACUCCUACGGGAGGCAGCAGUAGGGAAUCUUCCGCAAUGGGCGAAAGCCUGACGGAGCAACGCCGCGUGAGUGAUGAAGGUCUUCGGAUCGUAAAACUCUGUUAUUAGGGAAGAACAUAUGUGUAAGUAACUGUGCACAUCUUGACGGUACCUAAUCAGAAAGCCACGGCUAACUACGUGCCAGCAGCCGCGGUAAUACGUAGGUGGCAAGCGUUAUCCGGAAUUAUUGGGCGUAAAGCGCGCGUAGGCGGUUUUUUAAGUCUGAUGUGAAAGCCCACGGCUCAACCGUGGAGGGUCAUUGGAAACUGGAAAACUUGAGUGCAGAAGAGGAAAGUGGAAUUCCAUGUGUAGCGGUGAAAUGCGCAGAGAUAUGGAGGAACACCAGUGGCGAAGGCGACUUUCUGGUCUGUAACUGACGCUGAUGUGCGAAAGCGUGGGGAUCAAACAGGAUUAGAUACCCUGGUAGUCCACGCCGUAAACGAUGAGUGCUAAGUGUUAGGGGGUUUCCGCCCCUUAGUGCUGCAGCUAACGC